UACGUAGGGUGCAAGCGUUAAUCGGAAUUACUGGGCGUAAAGCGUGCGCAGGCGGUUAUGUAAGACAGGUGUGAAAUCCCAGGGCUUAACCUUGGAACUGCAUUUGUGACUGCAUAGCUAGAGUACGGUAGAGGGGGAUGGAAUUCCGCGUGUAGCAGUGAAAUGCGUAGAUAUUGGGAAGAACACCGGUGGCGAAAGCGCCUUGCUGGGUCUGCACUGACACUGAGGGACGAA
rnacentral:rRNA from 1 species